GCUGUCGAAGCUACGCGCUAGCCCUACGUACGCUGGGCAGGCAGUCACCGUACGCAGCUUGGUAAUCCACGCACGAGCACAUCCACUCCUUCGGUGAGGGCCCCUGUGGUCAUAGGCUCGUACGAGUUGAUUGCGUGACGCCCGUCCAGUUUCCUAAUUCCCAUCUAAUUCCGAGAUCCGAUUGUGAGUUCACGUCUUCGAGUAUCCCCCAGCCACGAUCAUCAUCUCUGGACGCGAACGCGAGUCGCUAUUUCAUGGAUGAACUCUGUUCUUCCAUCUCUACUCCAGGCCAGCGCCAGAUUGCGCCAUCACCCAGCACGCACACGCUCAUGCACAUCGCCGAGCGCAUGCCGCAGACGCAUAUACAUAUCGCGUCAUCGCCAAGCGCCGGAUCAGACAAUAACCAGCAGCGAUUCAACCGAUCCAAGGCCAAAAUCGCGGGAGAUCACCGGCGAUUGCAGGAGAUCAUGCUGAUUUAGGCUAAAAUUUUGAUGCAAAUUUGGCUGACGCAAUUUCCUUUCUCCGGCCAUUUUAAUAGGUGAUCAUUAUCACUUUGUUUAUUGCUAAUUAAGUAAUUUAUCUUCGUCAACAUGA